GCCAAUCUCAGUUCGGAUUGUAGGCUGCAACUCGCCUACAUGAAGUUGGAAUCGCUAGUAAUCGCGAAUCAGAAUGUCGCGGUGAAUACGUUCCCGGGUCUUGUACACACCGCCCGUCACACCACGAGAGUUUACAACACCCGAAGUCAGUGGCCUAACCGCAAGGAGGGAGCUGCCUAAGGUGGGGGUAGAUGAUUGGGGUGAAGUCGUAACAAGGUACC
rnacentral:rRNA from 1 species